rnacentral:rRNA from 1 species
AGAACGAACGCCGGCGGCAUGCCUAACACAUGCAAGUCGAACGAGACCUUCGGGUCUAGUGGCGCACGGGUGCGUAACGCGUGGGAAUCUGCCCUUGGGUUCGGAAUAACAGUUGGAAACGACUGCUAAUACCGGAUGAUGACGUAAGUCCAAAGAUUUAUCGCCCAGGGAUGAGCCCGCGUAGGAUUAGCUAGUUGGUGAGGUAAAGGCUCGACCAAGGCGACGAUCCUUAGCUGGACUGAGAGGAUGAUCAGCCACACGUGGGACUGAGACACGGCCCAGACUCCGUACGGGAGGCAG